rnacentral:rRNA from 1 species
CGGAGGAAAAGAAACCAACAGGGAUUGCCCCAGUAACGGCGAGUGAAGCGGCAACAGCUCAAAUUUGAAAUCUGGCCCUAGGCCCGAGUUGUAAUUUGCAGAGGAUGCUUUUGGCGCGGUGCCUUCCGAGUUCCCUGGAACGGGACGCCAUAGAGGGUGAGAGCCCCGUACGGUUGGACACCAAGUCUUUGUAAAGCUCCUUCGACGAGUCGAGUAGUUUGGGAAUGCUGCUCAAAAUGGGAGGUAUAUUUCUUCUAAAGCUAAAUAUUGGCCAGAGACCGAUAGCGCACAAGUAGAGUGAUCGAAAGAUGAAAAGCACUUUGAAAAGAGGGUUAAACAGCACGUGAAAUUGUUAAAAGGGAAGCGCUUGUGACCAGACUUGCGUCCGGUGAAUCACCCAGCUCUCGCGGCUGGGGCAUUUUGCCGGCUCAGGCCAGCAUCAGCUUGCCGUCGGGGACAAAAGCUUCGGGAACGUAGCUCUCUUCGGGGAGUGUUAUAGCCCGUUGCAUAAUACCCUUCGGUGGGCUGAGGUACGCGCUCCGCAAGGAUGCUGGCGUAAUGGUCAUCAGCGACCCGUCUUGAA